AUUGAACGCUGGCGGCGUGCUUAACACAUGCAAGUCGUGCGGUAACAGGCGUAGCAAUACGUGCUGACGAGCGGCGAACGGGUGCGUAAUACAUGGGAAUCUGCCUUUUAGUGGGGAAUAACCCGGCGAAAGCCGGGCUAAUGCCGCAUAAGAUCUUCGGAUGAAAGCGGGGGAUCGUAAGACCUCGCGCUGAUAGAUGAGCCCAUGCCGGAUUAGCAGUUGGUGAGGUAACGGCUCACCAAGGCGACGAUCCGUAGCUGGUCUGAGAGGACGGCCAGCCACACUGGGACUGAGACACGGCCCAGACUCCUACGGGAGGCAGCAGUGGGGAAUAUUGGACAAUGGGGAAACCCUGAUCCAGCGACGCCGCGUGUGUGAAGAAGGCCUGCGGGUUGUAAAGCACUUCGUGGACGAAUAUGCGGCUAAUAUCCGGUAGGCUGACGUUACUCAAUGAAGAAGCACCGGCUAACUCUGUGCCAGCC
rnacentral:rRNA from 1 species